GACGAACGCUGGCGGCGUGCUUAACACAUGCAAGUCGAACGGUGAAGCGCCUUCCUUUUUGGUGGGUGUGGAUGAGUGGCGAACGGGUGAGUAACACGUGAGUAACCUGCCCCCUUCUUCUGGAUAACCGCAUGAAAGUGUGGCUAAUACGGGAUAUUCUGGGUCUGUCGCAUGAUGGGUCUGGGAAAGAUAUUGUUUCGGUGGGGGAUGGGCUCGCGGCCUAUCAGCUUGUUGGUGGGGUGAUGGCCUACCAAGGCGGUGACGGGUAGCCGGCCUGAGAGAGUGGACGGUCACACUGGGACUGAGACACGGCCCAGACUCCUACGGGAGGCAGCAGUGGGGAAUAUUGCACAAUGGGCGAAAGCCUGAUGCAGCGACGCCGCGUGAGGGAUGGAGGCCUUCGGGUUGUGAACCUCUUUCGCCAGUGAAGCAGGCCUGCCUCGUUUGUGGGUGGGUUGACGGUAGCUGGAUAAGAAGCGCCGGCUAACUACGUG
rnacentral:rRNA from 1 species